rnacentral:rRNA from 1 species
AGUACUUAAUGUUUGAGCCCCCGAAACUGCGCGAGCUACUCCAAGACAGCCUAUUGCAGGGCACACCCGUCUCUGUGGCAAAAGAGUGGGAAGAGCUUUGAGUAGAGGUGACAAACCUACCGAGCCCAGUUAUAGCUGGUUGCCUAAGAAAUGAAUAGAAGUUCACCCUUUUGACUUUUUUUGCCAAAUGAGGCAAGACCGCCCCUAAGGCCCAAAGAACAUCAAAAGAGAUAUUCAAAGGAGGGACAGCUCCCUUGAAAGAAGAUACAACUUUAAUAGAAAGCUAAAGAUCAAAGGAUAAAAGGAGACAUACCCGGGUGGCCUAAGAGCAGCCAUCCCUGUAAAAAGCGUUAAAGCUCAAGUAUGACAUACCACUGAUCCGCAAAAAUGUCUAAAGCUCCUACAUUUAUUAGGCCUUCCUAUGCACCCAUAGGAAAGAAACUGCUACAUGAGUAAUAAGAGAGCACGCCCUCUCUUCUUGCAGACGUGUAUGUCAGAACCGGACCCCCCGCUGAAAAUUAACGCCCCCAAACCCAGAGGGAAUUUGGACAACACUAAACAAACCUUAGAAACCCCCACCCCACCAGCGUUAACCCUACACAGGCCUGGUUCUUAGGAAAGGACAAAAAGAGAAAAGAAGGACCUCGGCAAACAUUUGGCCUCGCCUGGUUACCCAAAAACACCCGCCUUUUUGCUUCGACAAUUUUAAAGAGGGCCCCGCCCUGCCCUUGGGACGAAAGGUUUAACGGGCCGGGGAUUUUGACCGUGCGAAGGUAGCAUAAUCACUUGUCUUUUAAAUGGAGACCUGUAUGAAUGGCACGACAGGGGCUGCGCUGUCUCCUUUGUCUAGUCAAUGAAAUUGAUCUGCCCGUGCAGAAGCGGGCAUAACACCAUAAGACGAGAAGACCCUAUGGAGCUUAAAACACCAAGACAGGCCGAGUAAAGGCCCUGCGACCCCUGGCGCCACGUGACACGACCACUGUCUGAUGUUUUCGGUUGGGGCGACCGCGGAGGAAAACCAACCCUCCGCAUGGAAUGGAAUAAUAGCCUUAAAUGAGGCCUACAAGCCCAAUCAGCAGAAAAUCUGACCACCAAGACCCGGCAAUGCCGAUCGACGGACCCAGUUACCCUAGGGAUAACAGCGCAAUCCCCUUCUAGAGCUACAUCGACAAGGGGGUUUACGACCUCGAUGUUGGAUCAGGA